rnacentral:rRNA from 1 species
CCUACGGGGGGCUGCAGUUGGGAAUCUUGCACAAUGGGGGGAACCCUGAUGCAGCGACGCCGCGUGGAGGAUGACGGAUCUAGGUCUGUAAACUCCUUUUUCAUGGAAAGACUUAGGACGGUACCAUGAGAAUAAGGACCGGCUAACUACGUGCCAGCAGCCGCGGUAAGACGUAGGGUCCAAGCGUUGUCCGGAUUUACUGGGCGUAAAGAGCGCGUAGGCGGUCUGUUAAGUGUGAAGUGAAAUCUCCAGGGCUCAACCCGGAAACUGCUUCGCAUACUGGCAGACUUGAGGAAUGCAGAGGUUUGUGGAAUUCCUGGUGUAACGGUGAAAUGUGUUGAUAUCAGGAGGAACACCCAUGGCGAAGGCAGCAAACUGGGCAUUAUCUGACGCUGAGGCGCGAAAGCGUGGGUAGCAAACAGGAUUAGAUACCCGAGUAGUC